UAACUACUCUUUUCAUUCCGAAUUACUUGUUACAGGUAUGAAUGUAUUUAGAUAUAUUUUAAUUCUAGAUAUAUCCAUUUCUGUGACGAGUAAUUUGGAAUGGAGAAAGUACUUU
rnacentral:pre_miRNA from 1 species